GGGUCAUUUAUACGGCGAGGACACAUAUGGACGCCAGCCGGGUCCCGCUAACGGCCAGCUGCACCAAAGCCUGGCACGCUGUCGGAGGUUUCUGAGGCGGAACUCUGCAGGGAGGACACCACAGAUGGAGAAGCAUGCACAGGGCGAGACAGGCGGAGGUUUUGGUUGUACGACAUUAUCGAGAUGACACAUCUGAGACGUUCAUCAGGAAAACCUCACUUCACUUUUAAAAAGUCACAGAAAACAGUAUCUAGGAAUGACUGGCACAUUUUGGAAGCAGAGGCGAUCCAAGAGAAUGAGGCCUUCAAUGCAGGGCGCAAGAGUCACCUUCAACUGCACACACCAAAGUUGGUUUUGGUGUCACACACAUAAAAAAACAUGAAUGACGCCACAGAAGUCAUUUCACUGUAUAAUCAUCUCUGCAUCAGGCUAUAAUGAGCUCAUUUAACGGUUUAUUGGCCUGGCUUUACGGGAAGGGAUGACAAUGUCUUACCCGAAGUGGACCAAAUGAUGAUGAUUAUGUGCGAAUAGCUCACCAGAUUAAAGGCAUGCAUUUCGGACCGGCGCGGGCUGAAGGCAUCGUGGUACCGUCGGAUGUCCCCGUCAGAAAGCUGUGUGUGAAGGAGAUGGAUCAUCAGACUAAAUAUCUAAAAAGAUAAAACAAAAAAUUCAAAUAUUGUGGUUCCAACUUGCGAAUCGUCCAGGUCCAGUUUUCGAAGAGCCCGCCGAAUGUAAUCCUCAAAGGAUUUAGCCUUGGAGUAGACG